rnacentral:rRNA from 1 species
UACAUAGGGACCGAGCGUUGUCCGGAUUUAUUGGGCGUAAAGAGCUCGUAGGCGGUUCGGUAAGUCAGGUGUGAAAGCUCGAGGCUCAACCUCGAGAUGCCACCUGAUACUGCUGUGACUUGAGUCCGGUAGAGGAGUGUGGAAUUCCUGGUGUAGCGGUGAAAUGCGCAGAUAUCAGGAGGAACACCAAUUGCGAAGGCAGCACUCUGGGCCGGUACUGACGCUGAGGAGCGAAAGCGUGGGGAGCGAA